rnacentral:rRNA from 1 species
CGACGGGUGAGUAACACGUAUGCAAUCCACCUGUAACAGGGGGAGUAACCCGGAGAAAUCGGACUAAUACCCAUAAUAUGGGCGCUCCGCAUGGAGAGUCCAUUAAAGAGAGCAAUCUUGGUUACAGACGAGCAUGCGCUCCAUUAGCCAGUUGGCGGGGUAACGGCCCACCAAGGCGACGAUGGAUAGGGGUUCUGAGAGGAAGGUCCCCCACAUUGGAACUGAGACACGGUCCAA